GAUGAACGCUGGCGGCGUGCCUAAUACAUGCAAGUCGAGCGAACAGACGAGGAGCUUGCUCCUCUGACGUUAGCGGCGGACGGGUGAGUAAAACGUGGAUAACCUACCUAUAAGACUGGGAUAACUUCGGGAAACCGGAGCUAAUACCGGAAAAUAUAUUGAACCGCAUGGUUCAAUAGUGAAAGACGGUUUUGCUGUCACUUAUGGAUGGAUCCGCGCCGAAUUAGCUAGUUGGUAAGGUAACGGCUUACCAAGGCAACGAUGCGUAGCCGACCUGAGAGGGUGAUCGGCCACACUGGAACUGAGACACGGUCCAGACUCCUACGGGAGGCAGCAGUAGGGAAUCUUCCGCAAUGGGCGAAAGCUUGACGGAGCAACGCCGCGUGAGUGAUGAAGGUCUUCGGAUCGUAAAACUCUGUUAUUAGGGAAGAACAAAUGUGUAAGUAACUAUGCACGUCUUGACGGUACCUAAUCAGAAAGCCACGGCUAACUACGUG
rnacentral:rRNA from 1 species